AUCCUUUUGUAGUUCAUAAGCCUGAUGAUUGGGCUUUCAUGCUUAUGUGUGAGAUGUGCCUCCCUCAAACUUUGUUAUGGCAUCAGCUCUUUACCUGUCUAAUG